GUCCUAGCCGUAAACGAUGGGCACUUGGUAAGGGGGAUUCCUAUGGUCCUCUUUGCCGGAGCAAAUGUGUUAAGUGCCCCGCCUGGGGAGUACGCUCGAAAGGGUAAAACUCAAAGGAAUUGACGGGGGCUCACACAAGCGGUGGAGCAUGUGGUUAAAUUCGAAGCAACGCGAAGAACCUUACCUGGGCUUGACAUGCAUGGAUUAGUCCUGUGAAAGCGGGAUGACAGCUCUUCGGAGUCGGAACAUGCACAGGUGUUGCAUGGCUGUCGU
rnacentral:rRNA from 1 species